UGAAACAAAUAAUUAAAGACAUGAAUGAAAGCCUCUGAGAUAAAAAUACACAAGAUCGGUGAACACAGAGGAGUCCCUGAGACAAGCUUAGGGUUGACCCUAAGCUUGAACCAGAGGGAAAACUCAGACCUCCACCGAGUAGGAUGGGCGGUGGGAGGCUGGGGUGGUAUGACCCUGAAGGAUGCUGAGGGACCCACCACUGCUCCUGUGACCUCCACCUGACAUUCCUCAGGGAAGUGACACCCCCUCCAAAAUAUGCAACAAGACAGGCCCUGGGGAGACGCAGGCUUGGGUUUCGGAUGUGGGUGAUUCUCACAGCUCCACUUCUAGGCCUUGAUCUGCAGCCCACUCACUUCACGCCGCUGAGACUCAGUUUUCUCAUCUGCCAAGUGAGAGGUCUGGAUUUGGAGAUGAUUAUUACGGCUAAUAUUUGCUGAACAUUUACUGUGUGACAGGCAUUGCGCCAGACACUUUGCAUCGGUACCUCGUUCAGCCUUCACAUCCGCCCAGUGAGAUGGAAAAACUGAGCCCAGAGUAGGGCCAGGACACGCCCAACAUCAUAGCGCAGAUGAAGACACAGCCAGGACCAGAAUCCAAAUCUCCUACACCAGUGGGCUUCCCCCCCCGAGCCUGAACGUGGAGUCACCACUGGCUCAGUGAUUACUGAGUGGAAAGGGAUUCGAGACAGCAGAGCACUGUGCGGAGAUAGCUGGGCAUGAGGGGAGAGAAUGCAAGCCUCAGCUGGGAAUCGGGAACUCUUGGAUUCUCGUCUUCACAGAUUGACUUAAUUCACCACUUCAGAGAGGUCUGUGCGUUCACUUGUUCAUUGAUUCAUUUAUUCAACAAAUGCCUUCUUAGGUAACCUCUCUGGACCUCAGUCUCCUGAUCUGUAAAUGGGCAGAAUGCCUUUCCCAGGAUGGUUGUGGGAACAAAUGAGAAAACAGGUGGGCAACUUCUGGUGACUGAGCACAGGUGCAUGCGUGGUUGCAGCAGAUGGCAGUGCCGCCCGCGUGCCUUGGCUAUUCCUGUGGCUCAUGCCCAUGGGACAGCUUCCAACCACAGCACCUGCAACUCCCACCUCCCCACAACAGUGUUCUCUGGUCAGUGGUGGGGGGCAAGCCAGAGUCCUGGGAGUUCGCACUCCCCUGGGAGCGAAUCUCAAGCAAUGAUGGAACGGAGCGGAGGAAUACACACUCAGCUCCCUCCCCGCUCAGCUGGGGUAACUCAGGUGUGUUCUAUGCUGUCUUCCCAGGCUCCCCAGUGGGACGGAGCCCUGGUUGUCCACAGCAGUAACUUGCUGGCUAAUGCAUAUUCCUCCCUGGCUUCCUCCCCACCCCCUUACAGGUAUUCCUUGGGAUCAUAGAUGAACUACCUGCAACUCACAUCCUGGUGUGAGUUGCAGGGUCUGCUUUCAGAUCAGCCCAAACUCAGGUAUGAGCACAUCACAUGUCAUCUCAUUUCACCUCCACAACACCCCUGGGAGGUGGGCCUGCUGCCCCACUCUACAGAAACAAAUGUUCAGACAGCUUAAGGUCAUUGUCAAGAAAAUGGCAGAUCUGGAAUUUCUCCCCAGGACUGUCUGUCUCCAGAGCCAAUACUCAACUAUCAUGUUAUGCAUCAUCCCACCUCACCCCCAGGGACCUCCUUCAUAAUGGAAGCAGCAGCAAAGACUUCAUAAUGAACAGCACCAGAUUCUAGAGGCACCUGCAUUUCUUGGCUUGUGGCCUCUUCCUCCAUCUCAAAGUGCAUCGCUCCAAUUUCUGCUUCUGUCAUCACAUCGCCUUUUCCUCCAGCUCUGACUCCUCCUGCAUCCAUCUGAAAAGGAUAAUCCAGGAUAUUCUCCCCAACUCAAGAUCCUUCAUCACAUCUGCAAAG